rnacentral:rRNA from 1 species
GUCGACGUGAAGCCCGGGCUUGCCCGGGUGGAAAGUGGCGAACGGGUGAGUAACACGUGAGGAACCUGCCCCGAAGACCGGGAUAACACCGGGAAACCGGUGCUAAUACCGGAUGUCCUCGCCGGACCGCAUGAUCCGGCGAGGAAAUGGUCAGCCGCUUCGGGAUGGUCUCGCGGCCUAUCAGCUUGUUGGCGGGGUAACGGCCCACCAAGGCGACGACGGGUAGCUGGUCUGAGAGGAUGUCCAGCCACACUGAGACUGAGACACGGCCCAGACUCCUACGGGAGGCAGCAGUGGGGAAUCUUGCGCAAUGGGCGAAAGCCUGACGCAGCGACGCCGCGUGCGGGAUGAAGGCCUUCGGGUUGUAAACCGCUUUCAGCAGGGACGAAAUUGACGGUACCUGUAGAAGAAGCCCCGGCCAACUACGUGCCAGCAGCCGCGGUAAUACGUAGGGGGCGAGCGUUGUCCGGAUUUAUUGGGCGUAAAGAGCUCGUAGGCGGUUGGGCAAGUCACGUGUGAAAUCUCCACGCUCAACGUGGAGACGCCACGUGAGACUGCCCUGACUAGAGUCCGGUAGGGGAGCGUGGAAUUCCCGGUGUAGCGGUGAAAUGCGCAGAGAUCGGGAGGAACACCCGUAGCGAAGGCGGCGCUCUGGGCCGGUACUGACGCUGAUGAGCGAAAGCGUGGGGAGCAAACAGGAUUAGAUACCCUGGUAGUCCACGCCGUAAACGUUGGGCACUAGGUGUGGGGCUCUAUCGACGGGCUCCGUGCCGUAGCUAACGCAUUAAGUGCCCCGCCUGGCGGAGUACGGCCGCAGGCUAAACUCAGAGGAAUUGACGGGG